UAAAAUAGUCGUUGCUCUAGGCUUCUAUUCCUUCUGCAAUCAUGUGUCAUCAAAUUAACAAACUUUAACUAACUGCAGCUUAUUGACUACAUACUCUGAUGAACUUCAGACUCUGUCUUGCAACAUAAGUUUCCUUGGCAAUUUCCAUUGCUCUCUUUUGUUCUUCUAGAACCAAAAUAUUUUUUUCAGACUUAUAAAUUUUGACUAUGAUCCUGCAUACUUGAACAAAUAUUAGCAUAUCCAAUUGACUCUUUAAUACCUUGUUAUCAUCAAAACUUAAGGUGGUAAUGUUAAACACAUUUUGUUCCAACAAUCUUCCGCUUUUUGAUGAUGACAAACACUAGUAUUAAUGGUCAAUUGUUGUUAAUCUAAUUAACAAGUUGACUUUAGGGUAUGAGGUUUGUAAGUUCCCCCUGAGUUCUAUCCAAGUUAGUUAAAUUCAUUUCAAACUUAAAAAUGUCACUCAAAAAUAAUUUCACAUGAAACCAGAGACUAAGAGAUGAGAAGGAGGUUCUCCUAAAUUAAUUUUAAUGUAAAUUUAGUGGGCUCAUAGUCUAAAUGUACUAUAUCCUACUCCCCCUUUUAUCAUCAACAAAAAGAAUAAAAUAAAAAAGAGAAGUAAGAAAAACAUUAAUUAUUUCUAAGCAGUAUAUCACAACAUGAUUAAAAUAUAAAAGCAUAAACAUUAUAUUUAACAAUGAUAAUGUAAACUGAACAAAUGAAAAAACUCACUCCUUAGGAUUUUUAAGAUAUAAAACUUGAAAAAUAAUCCUAAGUGUUUUGCGCUAUUUGAUAUGACAGAGUUUUGGCACAGAAAAAUAGUGGAGUGUUUAUCACUUAUUCUUCAAGUUUUCAGCUCCUUUUAUAUGCAGUGAUUUGAGAGACUUUGGAGAAGAGUGUCGGCGCAAAUAUAGUCGUUGAGAAGCUUUGAUCAAGAACAUUGGCCCUUUGCCUGAUAUGUAUAAUUCUGUUGGAAAGUCCUUUGAAUUUCCUUUGCUGAACAAAGUAUUUGUUGCUCUCUUCGUUCCUAAUGCUUUUGUCUGGUUGCACACGUAGACAGAAGAAGACAAAAGCACUACUCUAUCAGAUACUAUGAUAGAGAUAACUCACAGAAUAAGACAAAAGCUUACGUGGAUUCUAGGUUCCUCUAAUCCAAGUAGUCAAUCAGGUUAUGUGGUUGACCUUCCAGUAGAUCUUCCACCAAUAGUCUUCUAAGGUUCCCAAUCCCUUUCUGAUGCUUUUCACAUGUUCUUUCUUAAUGAUAGGUAGAUUAUGCACACUUGAACAUUUGUUAGUAUUCCAAUUGUUCUUCAAUACUUUAUUAUCAUCAAAAUUCAAGAGGACUAGUAUGAACCAUUCUUAUUCUAGAGGGGAGAACUAAAUGUAGCAACAAUAUUUUGUGAUCUAGUAUACUUUUGUGUUUAUCUAUUUUAUUUUAAGUACCUUCAUUUACUUUAUGGAUCUAUCCAAUUAGGAAGGAAUUUAUGAAAGGAUUAAUGAGAAUCCUAGCUAUUUCUUAAAAUACGUAGUGCGAUCACAUAACUCUUAAUAAUAUUUUGUAUAUAAAUGUGAAUAAAAGAAUUUAUGCGAAAUAAAAAAUAUUGGUGAAAUCAUGUAACUACAAAAUUUUAUACUCAUAACGAUCAAAUGAUUUUAUAUAUAUAAUUCUACAAUACGUACAACUUGUGCAUAACUGUUCUCA
rnacentral:lncRNA from 1 species